UAUGGACGGGAAUAACCUCGGGAAACUGAGAAUAAUGCCCGAUAGAACAUUAUGCCUGGAAUGGUUUAUGUUCCAAAUGAUUUAUCGCCGUAGGAUGGGACUGCGGCCUAUCAGUUUGUUGGUGAGGUAAUGGCCCACCAAGACUAUUACAGGUACGGGCUCUGAGAGGAGUAGCCCGGAGAUGGGUACUGAGACACGGACCCAGGCCCUAUGGGGCGCAGCAGGCGAGAAAACUUUGCAAUGUGCGAAAGCACGACAAGGUUAAUCCGAGUGGUUUCUGCUAAAGAAACCUUUUGUCAGUCCUAGAAAUACUGAUGAAUAAGGGGUGGGCAAGUUCUGGUGUCAGCCGCCGCGGUAAAACCAGCACCUCAAGUGGUCAGGAUGAUUAUUGGGCCUAAAGCAUCCGUAGCCGGCUCUGUAAGUUUUCGGUUAAAUCUGUACGCUCAACGUACAGGCUGCCGGGAAUACUGCAGAGCUAGGGAGUGGGAGAGGUAGACGGUACUCGGUAGGAAGGGGUAAAAUCCUUUGAUCUAUUGAUGACCACCUGUGGCGAAGGCGGUCUACCAGAACACGUCCGACGGUGAGGGAUGAAAGCUGGGGGAGCAAACCGGAUUAGAUACCCGGGUAGUCCCAGCUGUAAACUAUGCAAACUCAGUGAUGCAUUGGCUUGUGGCCAAUGCAGUGCUGCAGGGAAGCCGUUAAGUUUGCCGCCUGGGAAGUACGUACGCAAGUAUGAAACUCAAAGGAAUUGACGGAAUCACUAGUG
rnacentral:rRNA from 1 species